rnacentral:rRNA from 1 species
GUGCGUAGGCGGGCGUGUAAGUGCUUUGUGAAAGCCCUGGGCUCAACCCAGGAACCGCAGGGCAUACUGCACGUCUAGAAGUAGCUAGAGGCCGGUGGAACGAUCGGUGGAGCGGUGGAAUGCGUAGAGAUCGAUCGGAACGCCAAGGGUGAAGACAACCGGCUGGGGCUUACUUGACGCUGAGGCACGAAAGCGUGGGGAUCAAACAGGAUUAGAUACCCUGGUAGUCCACGCCCUAAACGAUGCACACUAGAUCGAUGCGGGUUUCACCCCGUAUUGGUCGUAGAGAAAUUGAUAAGUGUGCCGCCUGGGAAGUACGGUCGCAAGGCUAAAACUCAAAGAAAUUGACGGGGGCUCACACAAGCGGUGGAGCAUGUUGCUUAAUUCGAANCAACGCGAAGAACCUUACCUGGGUUUGACAUGCACGGAUUAGUUCCUGGAAACAGGAAUGAGGCCCGCAAGGGUACAACGUGCACAGGUGCUGCAUGGCUGUCGUCAGCUCGUGCUGUGAAGUGUUUGGUUAAGUCAUUAA